AUAAAUUUAUUGAAAAUACAGACAAAUUGGUUAAAUCAUUUCUCAAGAACAUGUAAAAUCAGCGGGUAAAAAGUUUCAAAUUUAAAAUUGCAGACACCAUUAUUAUUAAUCUACUGUUCACGUAGUUUAACUUGGUGUGCUCGUUGUAUUUUUUUAGCGACUGUUUCGAUUACAUUUUGACCCGCCUAAGCCUUUUGACCGGUGCAAAUUUAUUUCAGAAUUUGAGGAAACGCUGUAUUUUUUCAAUAAGUAUAUUUUGUGCUGAUCAUUUUAGUGUGUUUGAUUUAAUUUUUCGAGCAAAUUUAUAUCCGACUUAUAUUUAUAAUCGAUCACUAUUUUUAUUAGGUUAACAAAUCAAAAUAGUUAUUAGAAAUUUUUAAUAGGAUUUUUUAUAAUAGUAAUUGUUUUCCUCAAAAAUAAAAUAAAAUUUACAUUGGAUUCUCUUUUUUUGACAGCUGGUAUCCAGCUUGCGUAUCUCUUACCUUCACGCUACCUCCAUCUCUCUCAACACACGCCACCUAUCACCUCACUCACUUUAACUCUUUCUCAGUCUCACCUCAUUCAUAUAACCCACUCACUAUUCAGUACCUCACACUCAGAGACUCUCAACGAAAAGAAAAGAAAAGGAUACUCUUCUCUCUCAUUGGCUAAAAAAAACCCAACAGACACAAGAAAAGGGUUCUUUCUGAAUGUCUUCUUCUUUCUCCUUCCGUCGGCACACAACCGCACCACAAUAUUCGCUUCACUCCCUCAGUUUUCUUCAACUCGCUGUCUUGCCUUCACCAUCAUAAAACAACCCAUCACUCUGAACAUUCAGCGACGCCGGCGACGACCUUCUUCCAGUCGCCGGAAACCCACACAAACCUUCUGCUUCACCGCUCACCACCACCUUUAUCGUCUUCACCGAUGAAAAACCAAGCUCACCAAUACGAUUAUCCCUUUCUCAUUCUCAAUCGCCGAAAUCCCCUUUGAACCCUCUUCCGCCACCAAACAAACAACCGAAACCACUUCUCUAUUGGUCUGCCGAUCUACAUCGUGAACGACUUUCUCUUCAAAUCCCAACCACGAAACUCGGUCCGAUUCGAAGAGCUACCGCGCAUUAACCUUGUUAUUUUUGGACAGAACUCCAUCCAACUAACAACGACGCCGUGUUGACAUUCCGUUUCAGCAACACGAACCAACAACAACAUUGUUUCUGUUUCCGAACUCAACCGCACCACCAAUGGUAUUGAAUCUGCAUCUCACGCUGUCAACCUCUCUUCAACGGUAAGUUACUCCGUCUUCAUCGUCAUUAUUGUGUGUAACGAUGCUCAAUGUCUCGAGCUCAAUACGGAAAACAACUGGAUAUGCAGCAAGAUCAACGUCAUCCAUCGAGGUUCAAGUGGUUUUUUUUCAAUUUGAUUAUCUCUGUUUACCAUGUUCUAAUUUAUUUUUCAUUUGCUGUUUGUGCGUAUCAUGUCGGCAUUUUCCGUUUCAUUCUUUUAGUGUUUAAUAUGUAUGUCACUGGUUUAAGUAUGUUGUUGUUGUUUUCAACAUGUUAUGAUUCUCGAAUGUACAGGUUUCGGUUUUGCUCAGUUUCAUAUUAAUCUUGCUAGGGGCUUCUGUUGAGCUAAGGUGGUGAUAUUUAUUUGGGUCAAUUCAGAUUGGGUUAGUGUUUUUGUAUUGCUGUGCGUAUUUCGGUUAUCUAUUGUGGUCUGAUUAUUCCAUGUUUGCGCUGGAUUUUGAUGCUAUAAUAAUGAUGGUGUGACACUUAUGCAAUGUUGAGAAUAUAUUUUGUGUUGAUAUUAGUUUGACUUGCAUGUAAAUUACAAUCACUCUCUUGUGUUAACACCAUCUUAAAUUUAUAACAUGCUUAUAUAUUGGUAUGCUUAGACUUUACGUUUGACAGUUUUGUUAUGAAUCUUCAUAUGCCGUCAUUUUUCAUACUAAGAAAAUAGUACACUCACUUUUUCAGCUAGAAACCUCCUUUGAGUUUAAUAUUAGUCAUGGCAUGAGAAGAUGUUAUUGAUUUAAGUUAUUUAGGACUUGUUUGGUUUGAGAUAAUGUUUCUUGUGUUUACUAAUAAUUACAAGUUUCUACAAAAUUAUUACUUCAUUGUUUCCAAAAAUAAUUAAAAGGUUUUCAUUGUUUCAUAUACAAACACACGUAUUUGAAGUAGGGAGUGCAAUGAAAAUAAGGUGGUUACUUUUGUAAGUGUUAAUGAAAACUAGAAAUGAACAUAAGGAAUUUUAAUUGUAAUAAAAUAUGCUGAAGUUAGCCAUGAAUAUUCUAAUAAGUAAACUCACAUGUUAUAGUUGGGGCCAAUUGCAUUAUGUUGUUUUUCUUUUUGACUGAAAAAGUAUUUUAUGAGAAUAUUUUAUGAGAUCUUUCAAUGUGGGAUGUUGGCUACUUAGGACUCGUUGUAGUGUCUUUUCACCUUGAAAAGUAUUGAGUAAAAUUAUUAGGAUGUAAAUAUUUGAUUAUCUACUCAAUUUUGUCAAGUUUUACAGAAUUAUUUCCAUAUACCAAGAGAAAGGUUCCUAACAUGAGUGCAGCUAACUUAUUUUAAUAGAAUGUAACUUUCUUUAUUUUAGAUUGGUCCACCUAAAUAAAACCAAAUUUCCAAAAUCAAACAAUUCUCGAUUCAAUGUCGACUCCGGUUUCAAAUACCUUUGUAGGUCGAUUGCUCUCUAGCAUUGCCAUCAACCUCACAUAGCUUACUCUUGGGCUUUCUUACAAUGAGACCUAUUCGGUUAUUGAAUAAUCGAGUAGAUGAUUGAUUCACUAAAUAAAAAUCCAAUCACUUCACAAAAACACGAAUUUAAAACCUCGAUCCAACAUCGAGUAUUUCUAUUAAAGUUAAAUUAAAAUAUCUAAUCACAAUCAAAUACUGUUUCACUUAGAAAUAAAAAGGGGGAUGGUUUUGAGUUUUCAACUCCUCUCCUCGAUUAUUUGAAUACGAGUUCUUUUACUUGGUUAGUCAAAUAGUCGUCAUUUCUAUCCACAUAAGCACAAACAAAUCGAAUCAUUUCAUAAUAAGAAAUGAAAAGGGAGACGACUUUGAGUCUUCAAUUUCCCUCCUCGAUUAUUUGAAUACAAGUUCUCUUACUUGGUUAGUCAAAUAAUUGUCGUUCCUCUACAAACUUCCAAACCCGAUUAAAUUGAAAUAUUUUCACAAUAAGCUAAAUGAAAAGGGAGUUGACUUUGAAUUUUCAAUUUCAUUCCUCAAUUGUUUGAAUACGAGUUUUCUUACUCGGUCAGUCGAACAAUUGUCAUUUUUUACAAACAUACAACUUAGUCAAAUCAUUUCCAUAACAGACUGUACGAAAAGGGAGAUGGUCUUGAGUUUUCAAUUCCUCUUCUCAAAUGCUUGGAUAUGAGUUGUCUUACUCAGUCAUUCGAGCACUUGUCGUUUAUUCUAAAAAUACAUCGACCAUACAUAAACAUAUUUCUAUAAUCACUUAGAUGAAAGAGAAAAUGGUCUAGAGUUUUCUAUUUCUUUUCCCGAUUAUUAGGAUACGAGUUGUCUUACUCGAUUAUCCGAGUAUUCGUCAUCCGUUCAAAACACUUUAAUUAUUAUCAAAUCCUUUCUAUAAUUAAGGAUGAAAAAGAAAGCGGUCUAGAGUCUUCUACUCCCUUUCCCGACUGUUAGGAUACGAGUUGUCUUACUCGACCAUCUGAGUGAUCGUCAUCCAACCAAAAACAUCUCAAUAAAUCAAAACAUUCAACGUAUUAAUCUAACUUGUCACCCCCGUGUGACCAAAACUCUUUUCAGAAAGAACACUGUUAAUCCUUUCUAAUGCGCACAACAAACCAAUGCUUAAGCCUCCGCCGAGAGUAGACAAGCCAACGUUUAGCCUUUAGGAUGCGAUCUAAACAGUCGUUCAUUAAAAGACACCAACCAAUCGUAGUCCCCGAACUACGAAUGCUCUGAUUUCCUUAUUGCACCAUAAGGAUACGUAGGCAGGAGAUUGCUGUAUCUUCGCGAGCACACUAAUAAAAAAAACCUCCCUUUUCCCUUUCUGAGGUUCCCAUCAAUUUCUAUUUUUAUAACCCAAAGAUAACAAACAAACAUAAAUUAACACUCGAAACACAAUUUAGAACUAAAAGGUUCCCGUUGAGUACAACGGACGUAAGGGGUGCUAAUACCUUCCCCUUACGUAAUCCACUCCCGAACCCGAAUAUGGUUGCGACGACCAUUAUUCCAUUUCCUAAAGGUUUUAUCGAUAUUUUCCUAUUCCUUCAUUGGGAUAAAUAAAGUUCGGUGGCGACUCUGUUAGAACUUAAUUUUUUCCGCGACCAUCGCGAGGAAUCGUAUUUUUCGAGAUGCGACAGUGAAGCAAUGACCUGUUGAUCAAUCACACUGAAUCAACAAUCGAGGUGUGUUUGACGGUCUGAAAUUAGCGCAUUAGGGUUGGUGACGGUGCAAGGGUUGUGCCGUCAAAGAGUUGUGAAUUUAGGGCUUUUUGGAACACGUCUCUUGACUGUUUCAAAAUUUCUGUAAUUUGGCCACGUGACGUUCGUCACGAGCUUGUGACGAUCGUAACAAGCUGGACGUGAAGGUCGUCACGUGCUUUGUGACGGUCGUCACGUGCUUUGUGGCGAUCGGAACCACCGUCCGCUGAUCGGGCAGCGGAACCCCCGACUAACUCUGCGUAGUGUGAUCGGUCACCGAAAUUUAAUUUGGUUUUAAUUAAUUAAAGGAAUUAAAAAUUAAUAAUAAUAAUGUGUUUGUUAUUAUUGCCUUGUUGUGAUCAGUUAUGGCCUUAGUCUUACUUCAUUUUGUUUUGGGUUUUUAAAUACGACCUGCGUGUCGUGCCUCUCCUUUUACUCUUAGUGUAACUUCUUUUCUCAUCUCAAUCCCUCGUAUGUAAAACGAGUUUCUUCUGUAAUGUAAUGAUAUGAAGAAAGAGAAGAAUUCAAUAUCAGAGGAGAAUAAUGAUAUGAAGAAAGAGAAGAAUUCAAUAUCAAUGGAGGACAACCUUGAAGAUCUUGCUUGGAGAAGCUUAGAUCGUUAUUAAGUUAGCUUAGGUUCUCUCAUUGGCUUGGGAGAACAAUUGCACUAGGGGCCAUAACUGUUCCAUUAUGUAUGUUGAUGCAUGUGUAUGUAUGUUGAUGCAUGUGAAUAUAUGUUGAUGCAUGUGAGAGA